rnacentral:rRNA from 1 species
GGAUUAGAUACCCUGGUAGUCCACGCUGUAAACGAUGAACACUAGACGCUGGGAGGGUCUACCUUUCGGUGUCGCAGCUAACGCGUUAAGUGUUCCGCCUGGGGAGUACGGCCGCAAGGUUGAAACUCAAAGGAAUUGACGGGGGCCCGCACAAGCGGUGGAGCAUGUGGUUUAAUUCGAUGCAACGCGCAGAACCUUACCUGCCUUUGACAGCCGGGGAACUUGACUGAGAGGUUGAGGUGCCGCAAGGAACCCCGAGACAGGUGCUGCAUGGCUGUCGUCAGCUCGUGCCG